GUCCACGUUACCAUGGGAACUGUGUUUCCUAAUGACAGUCUCCCUUCCUAGGCGUGGCACAGCAAGCUCUUUCUUUUUUUCCGACAGUCUCAUGUGCCCUUGUCACUGGAGGCAGGAAUAGAAGAU
rnacentral:snoRNA from 11 species